GUCCCUACCACCCGGGAGUGUGUGGGCUUUGGAGCCUCACAGGAGGUGGUUGUGGGACUGGUGCAGCCAGCCAGCACUGUCCUGUAUGACUACUACAGCCCUGAUCACAAGUGCUCUGUGUUUUAUGCUGCACCCACCAAGAGCCAGCUCCUGGCCACACUGUGCUCUGGAGAUGUAUGCCAGUGCGCUGAGGGGAAGUGCCCUCGACUGCUAAGGUCACUGGAGCGAAGGGUGGAGGACAAGGACGGCUACCAGAUGAGGUUCGCCUGCUAUUAUCACCAAGUGGAGUAUGGCUUCACGGUUAAGGUUCUUCGAGAAGAUGGCAGAGCUGCCUUCCGUCUCUUUGAGUCCAAGAUCACCCAAGUCCUGCAUUUCAGUAGGAAGGAGGAAUGGGCAGACAAGCAGGCUAGGGAGUGGUGGAGGCUGAGGUCUGGGUGUGGGGCUUCUUGGAAAUGGGAAAUCUCAAAGUCUGAAUGUGACCCCCACCAUCCUGCUGUCUCCCCAGACCCUGGUCAUUGGGAACCUGGGCUUGCUCAUAGUGAGCAACAAGUUCUGUAGGGAGCAACGUGGCUUAAACAGCAGGAUCUACACAGAGUCCUGCCCAAGGUUUCUCCUGGCCCUUUCUUCUCCUCUGAUGGCUCCAUCUCUUUAUUCCCUCAGGAACGGACACCAUGGCCUCCAUAGGUCAGACCCGCAACUUCCUGAGCCGGGCCUCUUGCCGCCUUCGUUUGGAGCCUAACAAAGAGUACUUGAUCAUGGGGAUGGACGGGGAAACCAGUGACAACAA
ensembl:processed_transcript